GACGAACGCUGGCGGCGUGCUUAACACAUGCAAGUCGAACGGAAAGGCCCUGCUUUUGUGGGGUGCUCGAGUGGCGAACGGGUGAGUAACACGUGAGUAACCUGCCCUUGACUUUGGGAUAACUUCAGGAAACUGGGGCUAAUACCGGAUAGGAGCUCCUGCUGCAUGGUGGGGGUUGGUAAGUUUCGGCGGUAGGGGAUGGACUCGCGGCUUAUCAGCUUGUUGGUGGGGUAGUGACUUACCAAGGCUUUGACGGGUAGCCGGCCUGAGAGGGUGACCGGCCACAUUGGGACUGAGAUACGGACCAGACUCCUACGGGAGGCAGCAGUGGGGAAUAUUGCACAAUGGGCGGAAGCCUGAUGCAGCAACGCCGCGUGCGGGAUGACGGCCUUCGGGUUGUAAACCGCUUUCGCAUGUGACGAAGCGUGAGUGACGGUAAUGGGUAAAGAAGCACCGGCUAACUACGUG
rnacentral:rRNA from 1 species